GACGAACGCUGGCGGCGUGCUUAACACAUGCAAGUCGAACGGAAAGGCCUCUUUCGGGGGGUACUCGAGUGGCGAACGGGUGAGUAACACGUGAGUAACCUGCCCUUGACUUUGGGAUAACUUCAGGAAACUGGGGCUAAUACCGGAUAGGAGCUCCUGCUGCAUGGUGGGGGUUGGAAAGUUUCGGCGGUUGGGGAUGGACUCGCGGCUUAUCAGCUUGUUGGUGGGGUAGUGGCUUACCAAGGCCUUGACGGGUAGCCGGCCUGAGAGGGUGACCGGCCACAUUGGGACUGAGAGACGGCCCAGACUCCUACGGGAGGCAGCAGUGGGGAAUAUUGCACAAUGGGUGGAAGCCUGAUGCAGCAACGCCGUGUGCGGGAUGACGGCCUUCGGGUUGUAAAACGCUUUCGCUCAUGACGAAGCUUUGUGUGACGGUAGUGGGUAAAGAAGCACCGGCUAACUACGUG
rnacentral:rRNA from 1 species